UUUUCCCCUAAAUCCAAAACAACUAAACCCUUUCAAUAUGACAGAAAGUUUCCCCAAUCAAAAUAAUCACCUUUCAGCUUUUAUCUUUCUUCAUCUAAAACGAAGAAAAUUUUCAGUUGUUCUCCAUCAUCAUUCUAUAACAUUCUUUCUUCUUUAAGAAAAAUUCUGCACAAUGGAAUAUAUUUCCUCUUUUCUCUGAAACAUAAAGCUUCAAUUUCAAAUCGAAACAUUGAAGGGAAGAAAUAGCCGAAAUAUUUUGUUCGCUCGGCUAGGUCAAGCGUUCAAAUCCCUCAAAUUGAAAUAGGUAAAGCAUUCCUUUCCCUCAAAUAGGAACAUAGAAAUAAAUUUCCUUCUUUUACGCUUUCCUUUCCCCUCAAAUUAAAAUAAGGAAGAUGUUUGUUUCCCUCAAAUCGAAACAAAUAAAACUUUCGUUUCGGUCAAAUCAACACAAUGAAAACAUUUGUUUCCCUCAAAUUAACAUGCAGGUAACAACUUCUAUAUCUUACCAUGUUUCUUUUAGGAAUAUGUGUUUCCUAUUUGUUUGUAUUGAAGGUUCAUGGUGUUGUGUUUGUUCAGUGCUGCAGGAUGAUAUAUUUUAUUUGGAUAAAUGUUCUUUAAUGUCUCGUUGUUUGUUUUGCAGCAUUGUCCAGGAACCUUAUCUGGAAGAACUUUCAGAGCUACUCAUUGGUACUACAUCUAUUUCACAAAAGACUUGUUUCAUUGUUAUACUCAUUCUCUUUUCUGUAUGCAGACCAAGAAAAUAUUUCCAACCGACAUCAGUACUUUUAUAAGGUAUCUCAGUCUAUUAACUAUUUAUGUUUGAAAUUCGAAAUUAUUAUUUCUUUCAAUCUAUUGGCUUCAAGAUGGUUCUGACUUUGGUAUGACUCCUUAUAUACACGAGAAAUUUUUCUUUCCAGUUCUACAAUGAUAUGCUUUUAUCUAUAUGUGCACUUGUCUCUGGAGGAAAUCCCCUACCUAAGAAAUUGAAGCCAUUUGCUUGUAUAGUAUGAUAAGAUAGUCAAAAGGAUAUGUUACUUAUUUUUCUUAUUUUUCUUAGAAUCAAAAUAAGGUUGUAAAAGCUAGUAAUUUAGCCAAGUCACUUUUGGAGGCAGGUCAGCAAAAAGCUCAUGAUGUGAUUAUUGCAUUAGAUUUCUAAGCAUAUAGUGGAUUUCCAAUGAGAGGAGUGAAAUGAAUCAAUGUUUCUUAAUGCAAUACUCGCUAUCAGCUCCAUAAAGGUUAGUCUUUAGUGAAUAAUUAAAGUUUUAAUCAUAAGUCCAAUUAGAUAUCAAUGUUUAGAUAUAUGUUUAAUUGUUGUUUUAUAAAAUAAUAGUACAAAUAUGUGAAUGGUAAAAUUUCAUUGGAUAAUAGAUAAUUGUGUGAUAAUAAGGAAUUUGUUUUGUUAUUCUAUAAUGUUUGGUGACAAAAUUAUAUGUAAAUGAUGAUGAUAACUUCCCUGCACGUUGUCUAAGAGUAUGUUUAAAUUUAGAUUACAAAAGACUACUUCAAAAAUCUAAAUUACUAGAGUUGCUUUCGAGUUGUAUGAUAGUUUUGGCUUUGGAAAUAACAACUUUAUUACUUUGUUAUCCUACUCGUUCACUCCACUGGUUGUUCAAUAGGUUUGAACAAUUCAUGAUAGAUUUUUUUGCAGAGAUUUCAACUAUUGGAGAGAUUUGGCACAUGAACAUUGUAAAGAUGCAAUUAUUUUGUUUUCAUGAGGAUUCUAAUUUUUUAAUGUAUGAAUAUAGAGAAACUUAAUUUAAGUUCAAAAAUAUGUUCAUUUUUCAACUUGAUAGAUCAAGUUUUCCGACGUAUGUUACAUACUCUGGAUUGGCAAAAUUGAUUGAAUUUUAAUUCUCAAAAUAAUUUCUUCUGUGGUUGAAUCAUAUAAAUAAAGUUCCUGGAGUAAGAAUAAGUUUAGUACAAAGGUACUACAGCGAGUAUAGUUUUACUAGUUGAAAUACUUUUCCGUCUAUAAGAAUUAAUACAAAUAGACAUUGGCUGAAUUUAUUUCUUUUUCCUUACCCUUCUCUAACAAGGUGAAGCUAUUUUCAGAUUCUGGAUCAAUACAAGUUAGAGCCAAGGCUACAGUGUGCUCCAUAAGAAGUUAGAUUUCCAAUUUGUACAAUGUUUUUUAAAAAAUUGGAAUGUCAUUUUGUAUUAGCAGUUAGAAUAAAUUUUGUAUUUUUUGAAUGUUUACUUUUAGAUAACUUCCCAUAUGACGUGAGUCUCUGUUACAUUUAAAGUUAUCUUUUCAUAUAUCUCUGUAGGUGAGAUUAUCUUUGAAUUAAAAUACAGUGUUAUGAUUUAUCCUAUGAAUCAAGAGAAAGAAGAUAGGACUGCAAGAACACAAUAGAAUGUCCCAAGCAGGUAAUUAGGUUGGUGGGCUGGGGAUGUUGAAGGAGUUUAUAACUAAGAUUUUUUAUUUUGUGAAUAAAUCAAAUUCAUAAUUUGUGAAGGCAACCCUGUUUGUGUAUCAUGCGAUUGCAUUAGGUUCUAGUCCUGAAUUUGUAAGCAACUGAAGAAUGGAUGAAUGAAGAUUUCCAAUGUAUGACUUUCACACCUUGUAUGAUCUAUAUAUAUAUAUAGAGGUGACACUCCAUAUUAUAUUUUUCUUGUGACAGAUUUCUUUUCCCACCAGGCUGAGCAAAUCUUUUUUCCCAUGCUUGCUAAUUGGAAAAGAGAGUCUACAAUGGAAGAUAUUUUAUUGCAAUUGAAGAAAGAUAUGAUGUCUCCAUGAAUUCGGAAGCUAGCUCAGCCUCCUGAAGGGUACAACUUCUGUGGUAUUAGCAAGAUUGCUUGAUUCCCUUGAGUUAAUCGGAGACUCUAGUUUGAAGGAUGAAGGCAAAGAAAAUGGAUUAAGUGGUAGAAGCAAAGCCAUGGAACUUUAAAUUUUGUAUUUUUGUUUGAGUAUAUGGUUUUGUUUGGAAUGGAACUUUAUAUUUUUUAUAGAAAUUGUUGCUUAACUGUUUUUUCAUUCAGUUAUAUGUCAAAAACUAAUGUUACUGAGGAAUGACAAAAUAAAGGUUGUUGA